rnacentral:tRNA from 1 species
GAGGGGAUAGCUCAGUGGGAGAGCACACGUUUAGCAUGCACGAGGUCCUGGGUUCAAUUCCCGGUACCUCCA